rnacentral:rRNA from 1 species
AUUGAACGCUGGCGGCAGGCCUAACACAUGCAAGUCGAGCGGAUGAAGGGAGCUUGCUCCUGGAUUCAGCGGCGGACGGGUGAGUAAUGCCUAGGAAUCUGCCUGGUAGUGGGGGAUAACGUCCGGAAACGGGCGCUAAUACCGCAUACGUCCUGAGGGAGAAAGUGGGGGAUCUUCGGACCUCACGCUAUCAGAUGAGCCUAGGUCGGAUUAGCUAGUUGGUGGGGUAAAGGCCUACCAAGGCGACGAUCCGUAACUGGUCUGAGAGGAUGAUCAGUCACACUGGAACUGAGACGCGGUCCAGACUCCUACGGGACGCCGCAGUGGGGAAUAUUGGACAAUGGGCGAAAGCCUGAUACAGCCAUGCCGCGUGUGUGAAGAAGGUCUUCGGAUUGUAAAGCACUUUAAGUUGGGAGGAAGGGCAGUAAGUUAAUACCUUGCUGUUUUGACGUUACCAACAGAAGAAGCACCGGCUAACUUCGUG